UCAACAGGCACCUGAGUCUCCUUCCAACUGAAACUGUUUGUGCGCUACCCAAGCCCGCUGCCCCAGUGGGUCUGAUCCAUUUGAUGUCCCUCACAAUAUGUGCUAACUACUCGUGCUAAGCAAUCUACUCCACCCUUCAUUUUGCUGUGAUGCUGGGAGUUCCUUCCCCAGACCUCAAGAAGCGCUCUGUGUGAGCUCAGAAGCUGGUCAAAUAAAAGGUAUCACCUCACCCACAUGGUCUCUAUAGUGAUCAAAGGCAGCCUCUCCUUUCCUGGGCAUCGAAAGAUCUUUCCCUGAUGGAUCCCCGGUUGUGUGGUGUGCUCCUCCCUCCACUUCCUUCACCAGCUGUCCUGGUUUGGCAGCCUGUCACAUUGGCCCAUCUGUCAGCUAAAAAGAGAAACCAUUCGUACAAAUGGCAGCUUCAACACUGCAGUGAUCAGUGGCAAACUGUCAGCCAGCUGGCCUUAUGCAGUGGUGGUAUAACCGUGUUGGUCCCAGCAUAUGAGAGACAAGGUAGGUGAGGUAAUCUUUUAUUGACCAACUUCUGCUAGUGAAAGAGACAAGCUUUUGAGCCACUCAGAACUCUUCUUCAGGUCUGACAGGAAUGGGCUGUUUGCCUUGUUGAGCACUCAGGUACGAAGAGGUUAUGAAGUGACUCUGGGUAAUUUCAGAGUGAGUAGCUAAUACCUUCAACUAGACACAUACGGUAUUGUGGCAAAGAGGAAAUGUUGCACAAUAUAAUGAGAUAAUACAGUAUAUUUCAAACUUUAACCUAGGAAACCUGGAAAAUUUUCCAUUUAGACUCUUCUUUAGUUCCCCUCCAGAAAACUGAUUUUCCAUUGAGUUGAAAAUCAUUCAUGGGGGAGGGGGGAUUCAUUUUGUCAAUUAACUUUUCACUUUUAAUUGAAAUCCCAAAACAGAACAAUUUUUACUGUUCUGCAACCAUAACCCAACACUUUAAACUGAAAAAUGUUGGGUUUUGGUUGCCAGAACCCAAAAAAGUUCAGUUUCUGACAAAAAACCUGUAACAUUUUGAAGAAAAAUAUUGACAAAAAUGAAAAAAGAUUUUGUUUUCAUUGAAAUUAUUCACAGGAAAAAAAUAUAAUUUUCCAACCAGUUCUACUUCAAUCACAUACAAUUAACAUCUGCCUUGUCCUUUGGGGAUGGUCUUGGACCCAAAAAUCUGGGUCUUAAAGGUAGAGGCAGAAAGAGGCUUAACUCAAAUGCCUGGAUCCUAAUCCAGGCAUUCCCAAAUUUCAGGCUAUUUGGCUCUAAAGAGUUGGUUCAGACCUAUAUCUAGUUAGCAGGUGUAUAUUGGCUGGAUUCUCACACAGCCAGUCCUCCUCCUAUUGAGGUCCUACUGGCUGUAAUGGGGGCAGUUUCAGGGCUUUACCCUGGGUAACUAUUUGGGAUGGACUCUUCUCUUUUCAUUGCGCCUAGAUGAGUUAUUUGCUUCCUGGUUUGGGCCCUGAAUCAGCAAAAUGCUUUAGCCCAUGAACAUCGAAAGCACUGAAGCACACAUUUACAGCCAUUUUGAUUGCGGCUGCACAUUGAGCAGAAGUUCUCAGAGAACUAUCCACGGUGACGCCGAGAUCUCUCUUGAGUGGCACCAGCUAAUUUAGACCCCAUCAUUUGGCCCAGGAUUUCACCCAUGCAGUUCACCCUGUUGUCUUUCUGCUCAUCCAGCAGCGUGAGCUGUGCCUACUCCACCCAACACCCUUCAGCAGGUUCAGCAGGUGGCUUGCUGAAAUCACCAGCUUGGAACAUUUGUGCAUUUCUCCUCUGUUGCUGUUUCACUGUUUCAACAGUUCUGUGGAGCAGGUUUAUUGUGGGCAUCCUGACGGGUGCUGCGCUCCUCAGAUUAACCCCACACCAACUCAACAUCUACUCAGCUACAAAACAAGAGUUUAGGUCUUGCAGCCCCCAGCCGGCCUCACAAACCCUCCACCCCUCUGGCCUGAAUGGCCCCUACAUCUCUGUUCUGAAGCCCACCCUACCCUGUACCCCACCACGCCUCUGCUUUGAGGGCCCCUCUACACACACCUGCCCACCAUGAUGGGGGGGGCGGCCAUUUUGUAUCUGUUGUUUUUUAACGGUACUUGAACUGACCACACCGAAACCACCACUUUAACUGCGGCCGCAACUUCUGAACCAAACUGGCGCCGCUUUCUUACAGCCUUAAUCAUGGUUCCCUCUGCCUAACUAUCGCCUCUGCCCCAUGGACCCCAUUCAGCAGCGAUCUGUGGUGGCAGAGAAACAAAAAGCCAUGGAGUGCCCUUUCAGAGCUCGAGCCCCAUCUUAUUUCAGCAGCAGGUUACCGAUUGACUCGUUCGGUUCACAAAUUAUAUGUUAUUUACCAUCUCUUUGACAGUUUUACCAUAUAUGGAGGCCACAGUGAGUCCAUUCAAACUACAUCACAAAACACGUUUUAUAAUCUGUGGGUUUUUAUGACAGCCAAAUUAUACUCCUUGGCUUUUAAGGGAAUAUAUUAAGUUAGCU